AAGGAGGAGGUUUUCAUCCAGUGUGGUGUGUGCAGGAUGGAAUUGCAGAAGCGCAGAUGAGGGCCCCAGAGCCAGCCUGGCCCAGUGAAGGGUCUCAGAGGAGGGGGCUAUGGAGAUGAGACUCCUAAGGAGCAGUGAGCCAGGCAUUCCAGGCUGAGGGGACAUCUUGAGCAGAGGCCUGGUGCCACCUGAGCAUCCACCUUGAGGAUGUGAGCCCAGGACAACCUUUGUCCAAGCAGGUGGUCUUUCUGGGUGCCAAGAAGAAUAGUAGGGAACUUGGUUCUGGUAGCAUCCAUGGCACUGCCCCAACUUCCAAAGCUGCUCAGCAAAGACUCACUGGAUGUCCUCAGACCGGCCCUGGCACUGGGACAGGAGGGCAGACUUCCCCAGGGGUCUGUGCCCAGCUGGCCAGAGUGCUCACCUGCUGACCGACACACCCUCCUCUUGUUGGCCUCUUUCCCUUCCUGUCUCAUUUCCUGACUCAUCAAUCUGGACAUUAGGAAAUCAGCUCCCAGAAUGGCAUUCUUCAGAAUAUCAGCCAAUUUGUAUAGAAUUAGUCAGUGCCUGGCCCCCCAGCUGCAGCACCGGGACUCCAGGGAGGAGGAAUGUACCUGCAGCCUCGCCUGAUGCGGAGGCUCCGGCAAGUCCCAGCACAAGAUUCGCCUGCCUGCCCACGACCAGGAGGGGAGGCAGGUAGCAGCAGGGCAGACAUGGAUCCCAGCCACUCCUGGGCAGCCUGUGCCCCACACCAAUCAUAAGCUGCAGCUGCCAGAAACUUGCUCAGGAACAGCAGGGGUGAGGCCACUGACUUCACACAUGUGCACGCACUCACACUCACACUCACACACAUCCUGGCUGAGCAAGCCCAGGGCCAGCCCUGGCCCCUGGGUCCAUGUCCCCAUGGACCAGCCCAGGGACCCCUGGAAAGGGGCAAGAGAUAACUGGCUGAACUCUCUGCCAGAGUUCCAGAAAAAGCCGCAGAGGUUAUGCAAGAGCUAAGUUCAAAUCCCAACACUACCUCUUAACUUGCUGUGUGACCUUGGACAAGAUGCUUUACCUCUCUGGGCUUCACUUGCCCCAUGUGUAAAAUGGGAAUCAUAAAGUGCUUACCUGCAAUCACGUACACGAAUGUGCUUUCGGACACUGAAGUGCUGAAUGCGCUGGGAGUCAAAGCCGUGCUACUGAGACUUCCAAACAGGUCGUGCCUCCUCUGUAAUGUGCGUGUUUAUGUUGAUUCAAUUAAUAAGCACUUAGUGAGCACCUACUAUGUGGUGACUUUGAGGACAUUAUUUCUGCUUUCUGGGCCUCAGUAUCUCC
rnacentral:lncRNA from 10 species